rnacentral:rRNA from 1 species
GACGAACGCUGGCGGCGUGCUUAACACAUGCAAGUCGAACGAUGAAGCCGGAGCUUGCUCUGGUGAAUUAGUGGCGAACGGGUGAGUAACACGUGAGUAACCUGUCCUUGACUCUGGGAUAACUGAGGGAAACUGUAGGGAAUACAGGAUACGACCCUAGGAGGAACCUCCUGGGGGUGGAAAGAAUUUCGGUCAAGGAUGGACUCGCGGCCUAUCAGCUAGUUGGUGAGGUAAAGGCUCACCAAGGCGACGACGGGUAGCCGGCCUGUGCGGGUGCCCGGCCCCUCUGGGACUGAGACACGGCCCAGACUCCUACGGGAGGCAGCAGUGGGGAAUAUUGCACAAUGGGCGCAAGCCUGAUGCAGCAACGCCGCGUGAGGGAUGACGGCCUUCGGGUUGUAAACCUCUUUUAGCAGGGAAGAAGCGAAUGUGACGGUACCUGCAGAAAAAGCACCGGCUAACUACGUGCCAGCCGCCGCCGUAA